UUAAAGACCUUAACCUUCGAAUCCGUGCUGGCCAAAGCCAAGCACUUGUUGGAGCUAGUGGCUCUGGCAAGAGUUCAGUCAUUGCAUUGAUUGAACGAUUCUACGAUCCAACAGCCGGAAAGGUUAUGAUCAAUGGAAAAGAUAUCCGGAGAUUGAACUUGAAGUCUCUUAGGCUUAAAAUCGGAUUGGUACAACAAGAACCAGCCCUCUUUGCUGCCAGCAUUUUCGAUAAUAUCGCUUAUGGAAAAGAAGGAGCAACCGAAGCUGAAGUAAUCGAAGCAGCUCGAGCAGCUAACGUGCACGGUUUCGUUAGUGCGUUGCCUGAUGGUUACAAAACACCCGUUGGUGAGAGAGGCGUUCAACUCUCCGGAGGUCAAAAACAAAGAAUCGCCAUCGCAAGGGCUGUACUUAAGGACCCAACAAUAUUACUACUCGAUGAAGCCACCAGUGCACUCGACGCAGAAUCAGAAUGCGUGCUACAAGAAGCACUCGAAAGGCUCAUGAGGGGCCGCACGACGGUACUUGUGGCUCACCGUCUCUCGACAAUAAGAAACGUCGACAGUAUUGGAGUAGUACAAGACGGGCGAAUCGUAGAACAAGGCAGCCAUUCCGAAUUGAUUA
rnacentral:lncRNA from 1 species